rnacentral:rRNA from 1 species
CUUUGCUGGCGACCGGCGCACGGGUGAGUAACACGUAUCCAACCUACCCUUUACUCGGGGAUAGCCUUUCGAAAGAAAGAUUAAUACCCGAUAGCAUAAUGAUUCCGCAUGGUUUCGUUAUUAAAGGAUUCCGGUAAAGGAUGGGGAUGCGUUCCAUUAGGUUGUUGGUGGGGUAACGGCCCACCAAGCCUUCGAUGGAUAGGGGUUCUGAGAGGGAGGUCCCCCACAUUGGAACUGAGACACGGUCCAAACUCCUACGGGAGGCAGCAUG